GAUGAACGCUGGCGGCGUGCCUAAUACAUGCAAGUCGAGCGAACAGAUGAGGAGCUUUCUCCUCUGACGUUAGCGGCGGACGGGUGAGUAACACGUGGAUAACCUACCUAUAAGACUGGGAUAACUUCGGGAAACCGGAUCUAAUACCGGAUAAUAUAUUGAACCGCAUUGUUCAAUAGUUAAAGACGGUGUUUCUGUCACUUAUAGAUGGGUCCGCGUCGCAUUAGCUAGUGGGUAGGGUAACAGCUUAACAAGGCGACGAUGCGUAGCCGACCGGAGAGGCAGAGCAGCAACACUGGGAAUGAGACACGGCCCAGACUCCUACGGGAGGAAGGAGUGGGGAAUAUUGGAAAAGGGGCGAAAGCCUGAUCCAGCAAGGCCGCGUGAGUGAUGAAAGCCUUAGGGUUGUAAAGCCCGUUUACCCGGGAUGAUAAUGACAGUACCGGGAGAAUAAGCGCCGGCUAACUCCGUG
rnacentral:rRNA from 1 species